rnacentral:rRNA from 1 species
UACGUAGGGUGCGAGCGUUGUCCGGAAUUACUGGGCGUAAAGAGCUCGUAGGUGGUUUGUCGCGUUGUCCGUGAAAACUCACAGCUCAACUGUGGGCGUGCGGGCGAUACGGGCAGACUGGAGUGAUGCAGAGGUCGGUGGAAUUGCCGGUGUAGUGGUGAAAUGCGUAGAGAUCGGCAGGAACACCCAGGGGGGAAACCAGCCGACUGGGGCAUUGACUGACGCUGAGGUGCGAGAGCGUGGGGGAGCGAACCGG